GACGGAGGAUGCAAGCGUUAUCCGGAAUGAUUGGGCGUAAAGCGUCCGCAGGUGGCAGUUCAAGUCUGCUGUCAAAGACCGGGGCUUAACUUCGGAAAGGCAGUGGAAACUGAACAGCUAGAGUAUGGUAGGGGCAGAGGGAAUUCCUGGUGUAGCGGUGAAAUGCGUAGAGAUCAGGAAGAACACCGGUGGCGAAGGCGGCAUCCUGGACCGGCAUUGACGCUGAGGCGCGAAAGCCAGGGGAGCAAACGGG
rnacentral:rRNA from 1 species